CGGUUGAUCCUGCCGGAGGUCACUGCUAUUGGGAUUCGACUAAGCCAUGCGAGUCGAGAGGGUUCGGCCCUCGGCAAACGGCUCAGUAACACGCGGAUAAUCUGCCCUUAGGUGGAGGAUAACCUCGGGAAACUGAGAAUAAUACUCCAUAGAUCUAGGAUGCUGGAAUGCACUUAGAUUGAAAGUUCCGGCGCCUAAGGAUGAGUCUGCGGACUAUCAGGUAGUAGUCAGGGUAAAGGCCUGACUAGCCUACGACGGAUACGGGUUGUGAGAGCAAUAACCCGGAGACGAUAUCUGAGACACGAUAUCGGGCCCUACGGGGCGCAGCAGGCGCGAAACCUUCACAAUGUGCGAAAGCGCGAUGAGGGGAUCCCAAGUGCUUGCUCGUAAGAGUAAGCUGUUUUUAUGUCUAAAACGCAUAGAGAGUAAGGGCUGGGUAAGACGGGUGCCAGCCGCCGCGGUAAUACCUGCAGCUCAAGUAGUGACCGCUAUUAUUGGGCCUAAAACAUUCGUAGCCGGUUUGGUAAAUGCCUGGGUAAAUCGUGUAGCUUAACUAUACGAAUUCCGGGUAGACUGCCAAACUUGAGACCGGGAGAAGCUAGAGGUACUCCUUGGGUAGAGGUGAAAUUCUGUAAUCCUAGGGGGACCACCAGUGGCGAAGGCGUCUAGCUAGAACGGGUUUGACGGUGAGGAAUGAAGCCCUGGGGCGCAAACCGGAUUAGAUACCCGGGUAGUCCAGGGUGUAAACGCUGCUUGCUUGAUGUU
rnacentral:rRNA from 1 species